GAUGGUUAUGGCAAUCAACUGAGAUAAACGGCUGAAAAAUCAUAAAUUAUGGACAUAAAGUGUAUCAAUCUUGGAUGUAACAGUUUGGAUUAAUUGCACAAAAACCCCGAAAAACUCUGGACUUCCAGGCUGGAUAGAAAACCUUCUGUAAGGGCUAUGAAGACACCAAAGACAUCAGCAGAACGGGGCAAGUGUUAGCUUUUAGCUCCAAAAGAUGGUUUACAGAGAUCUAACUGCAUGGGAGCUCUGUAAGAGAAAACACAAGGGGCUACCACAGGGAAUCAUCGCUGCACAAACACCGUGGAAAAACAGCAACCUUGACUGAUAUCUUAUGGAAAAUGGGGAAAAUGCUCCACAGUGGAACAUUUGGGGCCGGUGUCCAUUUACCAGCAUGAGAAAACUGAAUAUUUUUCCACCAUUUUUACCAGCCAAGGGUUGUUAGCACAAACAAAAGGAAAUUCAAAUAAAACCCAGCUUGAGGAAAGCUCAAACAGCAAAUCGCUUUUUGCUCGCAGGUUUCUCUAUAGAGCUCCCCCUACAUCUUUGGAAUAGAUAUUUGGCAGCUCCAGUGUUUACUUGUGUCUGACUCCUCGCUCGGUCAGUCUGCUGUUUCCUCUUUCUCUGUUCCUCUGACAAUGCUUUCCUAGCUUUCUGCUUCUUUGUUGCUGGUUCAGCCAUGAUAUUGUGAAAACUCCAUCGCUACCUUGUUAGCCGGUUCCUGAAUGGGCGUAUGUGUGCAGUGCCGUGAAGCAAUUCGUUAUAUCGCGAGACCUGAUAUCACGCGAUCCUUCCUGGCGGUGUGGCCAGCGGCUCGCCGGCCGAAAGUUGCAAGGGUGGUUUUUCCGCUCACAGGCGCUAGGGGGGAGCGAGACGACCAUAUAACCAUUCCAAUGACUCUGAAGCUGUUAAAAAAAAAAAACUGCAUAGUUCCCCUUUAACAUGCUGUUACAAAUUCUGCAGGAUAUGUUGGGCAAAUGAUUUCAGACAAACAUUUAUUGUAGUUUGUUCUGUUGUAGCUUUUAUUGUUCAAAGAAGUCAUAUAAGAGUAAUCCCCAUUAUGAACCACAAACUGCAUAGUCUCUCUUGAUUGUUGAAGACAUGUGAUAGAUUUAACUGAGCAGGACAAAUCAUGUAUAUGAAAUGUUUGAUGGUGACAUCUCCCUGUCUCAGAGUAACAGAAGGAAGCACACAUCUAUUUUAGGAAGAUCAAAAUAUUUGAGUUUCCAUUCUGUGCAAGUUUUAAGACAUGUUGUCAUCUUCAAAAAUUAAAAAAAAGGCCCCACAAAGCAUCUGAUCAAUGUUUAGAGUGAAGGACAGGUGAUACCAAUCAAUAAGCUCACAUCGUAAUCAGCAUGAACAUAGAAGUAGAGUCCAUAGAGAGGGCAUUCAUAGCUAACAGAAACCAACAUCCAUAUGUCCAGUAAAGUUGCAGGAGCUUGCAGAUACAAAAUAGAAAAUCGCAAGCUAUAUAAUAAUAAUUCCAAAGUAAAAAAAACUUAAACAUCUGAGUCCUGACAUUCAGCAACAAGUAUCCUAUACAAAAUGAUACAAAAUACAUCCCACUCACACAUACACAAUGUACCAUUUAGUAAAGAAAGAACACAGAUUCAUUUAAAUAUCUCAAAGUCUCAGGGUCUCAGACUGUUUCUAUAAUGUUCUUGAGUCUUGAAUUCACAAAUGAAAUGAAAACUUGUCCUCUGUGAUUUUCAAUUUGGGUCCCAUCUAUUCAUUUAAUGUGAGGGAAAUAUUAACACACUGUUUUGUCUUUUUGUCACUUGGCUUUAAAGUUUUAAAACGUGCAUUUU